rnacentral:rRNA from 1 species
GACGAACGCUGGCGGCGUGCUUAACACAUGCAAGUCGAACGGAAAGGCCCCUUUGGGGGUACUCGAGUGGCGAACGGGUGAGUAACACGUGAGUAACCUGCCCUUGACUUCGGGAUAACUUCAGGAAACUGGGGCUAAUACCGGCUAGGAAUCCUUGCUGCAUGGUGGGGGUUGGAAAGCUUCGGCGGUUUUGGAUGGACUCACGGCUUAUCAGCUUGUUGGUGGGGUAGUGGCUUACCAAGGCUUUGACGGGUAGCCGGCCUGAGAGGGCGACCGGCCACAUUGGGACUGGGGUACGGCCCAGACUCCUACGGGAGGCAGCAGUGGGGAAUAUUGCACAAUGGGCGGAAGCCUGAUGCAGCAACGCCGCGUGCGGGAUGACGGCCUUCGGGUUGUAAACCGCUUUCAGCAGGGGCGAAGCUUGUGGUGACGGUACCUGCAGAAGAAGCACCGGCUAACUACGUG